rnacentral:rRNA from 1 species
GAUGAACGCUGGCGGCGUGCUUAACACAUGCAAGUCGAACGGAAAGGCUCCUGCUUGCAGGGGUACUCGAGUGGCGAACGGGUGAGUAACACGUGGGUGAUCUGCCCUGCACUUCGGGAUAAGCCUGGGAAACUGGGUCUAAUACCGGAUAGGACGAUGGUUUGGAUGCCAUUGUGGAAAGUUUUUCGGUGUGGGCUGAGCUCGCGGCCUAUCAGCUUGUUGGUGGGGUAAUGGCCUACCAAGGCGUCGACGGGUAGCCGGCCUGAGAGGGUGUACGGCCACAUUGGGACUGAGAUACGGCCCAGACUCCUACGGGAGGCAGCAGUGGGGAAUAUUGCACAAUGGGCGCAAGCCUGAUGCAGCGGCGCCGCGUGGGGGAUGACGGCCUUCGGGUUGUAAACUCCUUUCGCUAGGGACGAAGCGCAAGUGACGGUACCUGGAGAAGAAGCACCGGCUAACUACGUG